CUUCAGUCACCAGGCUGGGAAUCCUGCUCUUGAAGAGAGGGCUCUCUGAAGACCCAUUCUUCCCAGAGUGGCCCAAGGGAAUCAGAUCCUCUGGCCACUCUUCGUCUCUGAUGCAUUCUUCUGUCCCCAAACCUAAAAGGUCUCCAGCGCAAGGGUGCACACUAUGCCAGCAUGUAGUUCCGUGGGUAGAGCCUAGAGCCUUGCACAUAAGAGGCAAGCACACUGCCA